AUUGAACGCUGGCGGCAUGCCUUACACAUGCAAGUCGAACGGCAGCACGGGAGCAAUCCUGGUGGCGAGUGGCGAACGGGUGAGUAAAGUAUCGGAACGUGCCCAGUCGUGGGGGAUAACGUAGCGAAAGUUACGCUAAUACCGCAUACGAUCUAUGGAUGAAAGCGGGGGAUCGCAAGACCUCGCGCGAUUGGAGCGGCCGAUAUCAGAUUAGGUAGUUGGUGGGGUAAAGGCUCACCAAGCCGACGAUCUGUAGCUGGUCUGAGAGGACGAACAGCCACACUGGGAAUGAGACACGGCCCAGACUCCUACGGGGGGCAGCAGUGGGGAAUUUUGGACAAUGGGCGAAAGCCUGAUCCAGCCAUGCCGCGUGCAGGAUGAAGGCCUUCGGGUUGUAAACUGCUUUUGUACGGAACGAAAAGGUUUGGCCUAAUAAGCUGAGCUCAUGACGGUACCGUAAGAAUAAGCACCGGCUAACUACGUGCCAGCAGCCGCGGUAA
rnacentral:rRNA from 1 species